rnacentral:rRNA from 1 species
UACAGAGGUCUCGAGCGUUAGGCGGAAUCACUGGGCUUAAAGGGCGCGUAGGCGGCUUGGCAAGUGGAAGGUGAAAUCCCUCGGCUUAACCGAGGAACUGCCCUCCAAACUGCUUCGCUUGAGACCGGGAGAGGUGAGUGGAAUUCCCAGUGUAGCGGUGAAAUGCGUAGAUAUUGGGAGGAACACCAGUGGCGAAGGCGGCUCACUGGACCGGUACUGACGCUGAUGCGCGAAAGCGUGGGGAGCAAACGGG